rnacentral:rRNA from 1 species
UACAGAGGGUGUAAGCGUUAAUCGGAAUUACUGGGCGUAAAGGGCGCGUAGGUGGUUAUGUAAGUGAGAUGUGAAAUCCCAGGGCUUAACCUGGGAACUGCAUCUUAUACUGCGUAGCUGGAGUGCAAUAGAGGGUAGUGGAAUUUCCGGUGUAGCGGUGAAAUGCGUAGAUAUCGGAAGGAACACCAGUGGCGAAGGCGGCUACCUGGAUUGACACUGACACUGAGGCGCGAGAGCGUGGGGAACAAACAGG